AGUAACACGUGGAUAAUCUACCCGACAGUCAGGGAUAACAUUUCGAAAGGAAUGCUAAUACCUGAUAAGCCUACGCCCUCUUCGGAGGAAGUAGGAAAAGGUGGGGACCUUCGGGCCUGCCGUUGUUGGAUGAGUCCGCGGCCCAUUAGCUAGUUGGUAGGGUAAUGGCCUACCAAGGCUACGAUGGGUAGCUGGUCUGAGAGGAUGAUCAGCCACACUGGAACUGAGACACGGUCCAG
rnacentral:rRNA from 1 species